CACGGGCUCCGUACGGUGCGUACACAGCGAAAACCAGACCACCCUCGCUUCUCUGUGAGGCACAGGCCUUUUAAAGGCCUUAAACACUCAAUUAGAUGUUGAUUAGGAGUUCUAAACUAAGCCAAAUCAAACCCCAAGCCAUUGGAUCAAGAUCAGGAACUCUCUGGGCCGUCCGAUUGCGAUCGAUCCACAGAAUAGUAUCGUGGACCGUGAAAAUCG
rnacentral:lncRNA from 1 species